GUCUUUCAUGCCCAGUGACAAUGUUAAACGGCCGCGGUAUUUUGACCGUGCGAAGGUAGCGCAAUCACUUGUCUUUUAAAUGAAGACCUGUAUGAAUGGUGAAACGAGGGCUUAACUGUCUCCCUUUUCUAGUCAAUGAAAUUGAUCUGCCCGUGCAGAAGCGGACAUAAAAAUACAAGACGAGAAGACCCUUUGGAGCUUAAGAUACAGGGGUCACCUAUGUCAAGAGCUUAAAACAACUAUAAACUAAGUAGUAACUGACCUUAAUCUUCGGUUGGGGCGACCAUGGGAGAAAACACAGCUCCCACGCGGACUGGGCUAAAACCUAAAACCAAGAGAGACAUCUCUAAGCAGCAGAACUUCUGACCACAGAGAUCCGGCCACAUGCCGACCAACGGACCAAGUUACCCUAGGGAUAACAGCGCAAUCCCCUUUCAGAGUCCAUAUCGACAAGGGGGUUUACGACCUCGAUGUUGGAUCAGGACAUCCUAAUGGUGUAGCCGGUAUUAAGGUUCGGGGUC
rnacentral:rRNA from 1 species